UACGGGGGGGGCAAGCGUUGUUCGGAAUUACUGGGCGUAAAGCGUGCGCAGGCGGUUGUGCAAGACAGAGGUGAAAUCCCCGGGCUUAACCUGGGAAUGGCCUUUGUGACUGCACGGCUAGAGUGUGUCAGAGGGGGGUAGAAUUCCACGUGUAGCAGUGAAAUGCGUAGAGAUGUGGAGGAAUACCGAUGGCGAAGGCAGCCCCCUGGGAUAACACUGACGCUCAGGCACGAAAGCGUGGGGAGCAAACAGG
rnacentral:rRNA from 1 species